AUGGUACCUCUGACAAAUUGGAAGGUGAACGAAUACAAACAUGUGGACUCUCUUGUUCCUUUGUGGUGUGCUCAUCACACAUCAGGUGCAAGGUGUAGAUCGUGGCGACGCUGCUCGUUAUUGGUGGACUACAGCAGAUUAUUGGGAAACUUCAGAGAUUAUUGGGAAACUACACCAGGUUAUUCAGGAUGUGGUGGUUACCUGUAUGGCAGCAGUGGCAGUUUUUACAGCCCCAACUAUCCAAACCUGUACCCAGACAAUUCUGACUGUAUAUGGUACAUCAGACCAGGCAAUCAAAUUAUUCAGCUGGAGCUGUCAGAUGUAAACACUGAGUGUGGAUAUGAUUAUGUUUACGUCUAUGAUGGCUCCAGUACUGGAAGCCGGCUUCUGGGAAAGACAUGUAACAACACCAAAAACAACACUUUCUAUUCCACCGGUUAUUAUUUGACUGUGCGCUUCAGGAGUGAUGGCAGUGUAAGAGACACAGGAUUCCGUGCUUCUUACAGAGUUGUGUCUGGAGGUUCCUGCAUUCACAACUGUGGUUACCAGGUUGGAUAUUGCUCUUGCUCUUCGAGCUGUGUAUACAGAGGGGACUGUUGUUAUGACUACGAAGAUCACUGCACGUCCACAUCAGUAACAGGUAUACCAGAAACAGAUGCAACAACAGAUCUGUACUCAUGUCUUUACAACUGUGGCGCACACCUGGGAAGCUGUUCCUGUACUAGCUCUUGUGAAUACUACGGCAACUGUUGUCAUGACUACUACUCUUACUGCCCAAGCACAGGAGAUCCAGUCACAGAUCAGCCAUCAUGUCGUUACAACUGUGGCAUGCACCUGGGAAGCUGUUCAUGCAGAAGCUCUUGUCAAUACAAUGGUGACUGUUGCUAUGACUACUAUGAUUACUGCUCAUCAACCACUACGUGGCCUGACGUUACAGCUCAGCCUUCAUGUCGAUACAACUGUGGCUGGAGCAUGGGAAGCUGCUCCUGCACAAGCUCUUGUGAAUACUAUGGAAAUUGCUGUUAUGACUACUACUCAUACUGCCAAUGGACUACUGACACGCCCACUACCAUGCCUGUUACAGAACAGCCUUCAUGUCAAUACAACUGUGGCUGGAACAUCGGAAACUGCUCCUGCUCAAGCUCUUGUGAAUACUAUGGAAAUUGCUGCAAUGACUACUACUAUUACUGCCAGUCUCCUGACUUUACCACAGCUCAACCCUCAUGUCGAUACAACUGUGGCAGUUACAUGGGAAGCUGUUCCUGCUCAAGCUCAUGUGAAUACUAUGGAAACUGUUGUUACGACUACUACUGUGGCUGCGACUACAUUGAAAUCUAUGAUGGGCCAUAUGUUUAUUCACCAUUUUUGGGCAAAGUCUGCAACAACAGUCUGAGCACUUUCUUCUCCACUUCCAACUAUAUGACUGUGGUCUUCCGGACUGACGGUUCUAUGGUUGGUCGAGGUUUCAACGCCGAGUUCACGAGCUCUUUGACACCAAGCUCAGGUCGAGUGGACUGCUCCUCAGACAACAUGAACAUCGUGAUUGAGAAGUCUUACUUGAACAGUUUGGGUUAUGAUGGUCACAGCCUGUACCUGAACGACCCACACUGCAGACCCCAGAUUUCCUAUUACAAUGUGGUCUUCAGUUUUCCUCUCAACACUUGUGGUAACACAAGAGAGUUUGAGAAUGGCAAAAUUGUGUACACAAACAGUCUUCGUGCCUACAACUCCAACUACGGUGAGAUCACACGCCAGUCUAACUUUAAGCUAAACGUUCACUGCCGAAUUGGAGGAAGACUUAUCGGAUGUGUUCCACAAUAUUAG